CUACAACCAUAUCUAUCAUAAUCACUUUUCCAACCUUGCCUCGACUCGACACCGCUUCUUUGCAUUGCUUCAGUAUCUCGAUGCAUUUUUCGUCACUCCAAUUGUGCAAUAUCCACUUGAGAAAUAUUGCAUCCGCCGGGGGAAUCUCCACAAACAUGUCACCGCC